rnacentral:lncRNA from 1 species
UGGAGCUGAGGGUGGAAGGGGAGUGAGCUGACGCUCGGAAGGUGUCUUGAGAUUAUCAUCCGCUGAGGGUGGAAGGGGAUGGAGCAGACACUCGGCACGUGUCUUGAGAUUAUCAUCCGCUGAGGGUGGAAGGGGAGUGAGCACACACUCGGGAGGUGUCUUGAGGCUCAGGGAGUUAUCAGUUAUAGAAUGUUGUUGAGUUGGAGGAGGUGGCUGGUGGCCCAUCCUGUUUUUUAAAGUUUCAGCUGUGAGGUA